AACGAACGUUAGCGGCGCGCCUAACACAUGCAGGUCGAGCGAGAAAGGGCUUCGGCCCCGGUAAAGCGGCGCACGGGUGAGUAACACGUAGGUAAUCUGCCCUCGAGUGGUGGAUAACUCUCCGAAAGGGGAGCUAAUACAGCAUAAGACCACGAGUUUCCGAAUUCGCGGUCAAAGCGGGCCUCUCUUUAGAAGCUCGUGCUUGAGGAUGAGCCUGCGGCCCAUCAGCUAGUUGGCGGUGUAAUGGACCACCAAGGCUAAGACGGGUAGCUGGUCUGAGAGGAUGAACAGCCACACUGGAACUGAGACACGGUCCAGACUCCUACGGGAGGCUG
rnacentral:rRNA from 1 species